GCUGGGUGCAGUGGUGCAUGCCUGUAAUCCCAUUGGCUUGGGAGGCUGAGGCAGGAGGAUCGAGAGUUCAAAGCCAGCCUCAGCAAAAAGCAAGGCAUUAAGCAACUCAAUGAGACCCUGUCUCUA
rnacentral:sRNA from 1 species